GACGCACGCUGGCGGCGUGCCUAAUACAUGCAAGUAGGACGCAGUUGCGAACGGGUGAGUAACGCGUAGGUAACUACCUAUUAGAGGGGGAUAACUAUUGGAAACGAUAGCUAAUACCGCAUACUAGUAGAUGGACCUGCGUUGUAUUAGGUAGUAGGUAGGGCAAUGGCCUGCCGAGGCAACGAUACAUAGCCGACCUGGGAGGGUGAUCGGCGACACUGGGACUGAGAAGCGGCCCCGACUCAUACAGGAUGCAGCAGUAGGGAAUCGUCGGCAAUGGGGGGAACCCUGGCCGAGCAACGCUGCGUGAGUGAAGAAGGUUUUCGGAUCGGAAAGCUCUGUUGUUAAGGAAGCGGUACGUAAACAGAAAGGGCCGGCUAACUACGUGACAGCAGCCGCGGUAAUAC
rnacentral:rRNA from 1 species